CGGAGCCGUCUCCAGACGCAGGCCGCGGGGCAGCAGGCGCUGCCCCGACCCUCCGAGGUAUUUUUAUUAUUUAUUUUGGUCGCCGCUGGGCGAGAGAAGGGUCGGGCGGGAAAGGAGGAAAAACAGCCCCCAGAAGGAGGGGGAAAGGGGAAAAGGAGGGGAGCAGCGGCGAGCCCCCCUCCGCCGGCCCCACUCACCGCUUGAAAUGCUCGAUGAUCUUCUCCUCGCGCACGUUCUCCGGAUCAGGCCUCUCCUGUCGACGCAGAUCAGUCAGGAUUGACACUCCUCCACCACCACCACAGGCAUCCGCUUCAGUGAGUUCAACGGAGCAAGCGACACUCCACACCGCCUCCCAGCACAGCCUCUACCUUCGAAGGACAAAGCGCUGAAGCGCCUGUGCCAAGAAAUGAAAUUAUGCUUCCAGGGAAUUUAGCGAAGCACCUGCAAGGGACACAAGGAAACCACAGACUCCCAGGUCCUUCAAAGAAACCUCACGCAGGGUCACUGCUGUCACACUGUAAUCUCACAAGCCGGCUGGCUGGGAGGGAUGUCCACAGAUUGGAAGCCGUUGCAAACAAAACCAUUGACUCCGCUGACAUAAACGAUGGAAAUUACUGCUUAAAAGGUUCCGUUUACACGGACGCCAGCUGGAAAAGGAGCACACAAACUGCCGUCCGUGAUACAAAAACCAGGCUCUGCACCAUCCCAAUGCUUUUAACAUGCUUUGGGGGGAAACUGUUCCCAGUUGCAGCAUGCGACCGCACUCAGGCAGUGCCAUUGUAACCGGAUCCUUCCACCUCAUUUGAAGAUUUUAAAAAACACAGACCCACGCUAGAGACCGAAGAGAGCACAACCUUCAUCUCAGCAGGCCCAAAGCGUUUCAGUAAAGGACUGGUCCUGCAUGGCAGUGGCAAACAUCAUUCUUGUCACCACACAAGGAACCACGCAUUCAGGCCGCCCAUGCCAGCCACUAUCCUGCCCCAGCAGCAAGCUUCAGGGGUCGGGACACAAAUUUCCACUUGCCGAGGGGUAAAUAGCCAAGGAGCAGGAGACUUCACCUGCCUUACAUCACCCACUGCCUCUUGCCCUUCAGAGGAAAAUACAGCACAGUCCAGUGCACUGCAAGGCACAAUUUAAACUACUCAUACGCACGCUGGGUGUAGCUGGGAACCCAGCUAUCUCCAGGCAUCACGACCAACCGCUCAGUUAAAACAACUGCACGUUUCUUAUCAGCACUUGGAAAGGAUUAAAAUACCAGGCCCUAUAUUAAUGGGGGAGCAGGUGAUAAACCCACCUCAGCUUGAACACUGUGUUCACAUCAAGAAAAGCAAAGCAAGAACAGGAAAGAUCAAAAGCAAGCCAUUAAAGGCGUGAGAAAAUGGUGCUGCCAUAUAAGGAGCUAAUAAAGUUAGCAGCUCUCCAGUUUGGAGAAAAAAAGGGCAGGAGAAUCGGAAAACAUCCUCAGGGUCAACACAAAUAGCAAAGGGAACAGCCUGAGACAGCCUCCCAUCUAGGAGGAAAGUCGAAUAAAUAGGAGGGCACGUUACAGAGUGAGCACAACACGUGAACAGGCAAGUUUGUACAUUUUUUACACAGCAUAAAUCCAAGUAAACUCAAGUUACCAAGUGGUGGAGCUCACUGCCACGCGUCGCAGAGACUGCUUGCCAAACAUUUAAAAAAGAGAAGAUUAGAUACCGAACAAGGACAGCAACCAGAGCUGUAUUUGCCAAGACUGUAACUUCCUAUACUUGGUUCUGGCUUAGCAAUUGCUCUGCAUUUUGAGCUCGCAGCAACGCAGCUGGAAAUGGGGAAAGGAGGCCUUUCUCCACAGCUAGAGACAUUGGCCAAGCACCAGAGACUCAAACGGAUCUGAUAGAAGAGCAGUCACAUUAAUAGCACGCAAUAAUUAUCCCCACCAGUGUCCAGGAAGCAUCCAGCUUUCUCUGCUUUUCACAGAAAAACAGUAUGUUGCCCAGACAAGAGCCCUCAAACAUCACCAGAAACACUCAGAGCUUUUCUUUUUUUGAGCCUCCCAGCUCCAUCCACCAUCUUGCGAAUAUAAAAUCCAUUUAUGGGCC